rnacentral:tRNA from 1 species
GAGGGUAUAGCUUAGUGGUAGAGCACAUGCCUAGCAUGCACAAGGUUCUGGGUUCGAUCCCCAGUACUGCCC